CAUGGCGGAAGCCUGUCGGAGGUUUGCUACCUUUUCACAGCAACAAGCAGUGAGAUUAGCUAGCGUUGGUGAUACGUCUUGUCUCGCGGGAGGCAGGUCAUCUCUUAGGAUUUUCGGGAUAUGAUCCCCACUCUCCCUGAAGAAUGACACCACGUCCAUGAAGAAGCAUCUAAAGACCCCUCCCCAAGCAACUCCAAGGAGGUUUUCAGAUUUCUUCGAAGCUCCAUUAGAAUGGGUAGUCACGGGGGAUGGAAGCGUCAGUUUAGCAGACAAAAUGUUUGUCGAGUUCCCAAAAGAGAAAUCUAAGCCUGUUCAAGAAGUGAACCGAAAGCUACCUAGAAUCCUGACUUCUUUCUUGUUCCUGUAACCUUUCCGAGAUGUGAACACAUCCCAGUCAUGACCAAACUGGCAUGGUAGUCAUAAGCCUACCUGGCACGAUAUAUUUAGAGUGAAAAAAAAGUGCAUGUUACAUCUACUUUCAAAAUUUUCAUCUUAGGAGCCCCAAAGCCGAGCAAGACAGUGUCUCAGCCCAAGCAACCCAAAGCCAUCAGGAAUAAACUUGUAGUCCUGCAAAAUCAGGUCAUGAUCAUCUGGCUCACUGCUCAGCAGGGAUUCUGUU